rnacentral:rRNA from 1 species
UACGUAGGGCGCAAGCGUUGUCCGGAAUUAUUGGGCGUAAAGAGCUCGUAGGCGGCUUGUCGCGUCUGCUGUGAAAUCCCGGGGCUCAACCCCGGGCGUGCAGUGGAUACGGGCUGGCUAGAGGCAGGCAGGGGAGAACGGAAUUCCCGGUGUAGCGGUGAAAUGCGCAGAUAUCGGGAGGAACACCGGUGGCGAAGGCGGUUCUCUGGGCCUGUUCUGACGCUGAGGAGCGAAAGCGUGGGGAGCGAGCAGG